rnacentral:piRNA from 1 species
UGGUUGCUAAAAGCCGGGGAAACCCAGA